rnacentral:rRNA from 1 species
UACGUAGGGGGCAAGCGUUGUCCGGAAUCAUUGGGCGUAAAGCGCGUGUAGGCGGCCAGACAAGUCCUCUGUGAAAACUCGAGGCUCAACUUCGAGCUGUCGGUGGAAACUUUCUGGCUAGAGUCCGGAAGAGGAGAAUGGAAUUCCUGGUGUAGCGGUGAAAUGCGCAGAUAUCAGGAGGAACACCCGUGGCGAAAGCGGCUCUCUGGGACGGUACUGACGCUGAGACGCGAAAGCGUGGGGAGCAAACAGG